GGGGAUGUAGCUCAGUUGGCUAGAGCGUUUGAAUGGCAUUCAAAAGGUCGGGCGUUCGAUUCGCCUCAUCUCCA
rnacentral:tRNA from 1 species